CCCCCCGCUUGAGAAAUGAGAAGAACGAGACUACGGCGCCUGGGCCGACGUUGUAAGGCCCACGAGCCCAUAUCUCAUCUUAGAGAGAAGAGAAGAACGAACUUACGCACACGCCGCACGGUCGUGAGCCGGCCGCUGAGCUCCCCAUCUCACCCUAGAGUUUGGAGGGCGGCGGCGGCGGCCGGUAAACUUGCGGGUGGGGUGAGCCGGUCCCGUGGUGAAAUGCGUCAGCUGCGCGCCCGCGGCGGCGGGGCGGUGGGUGGCGCAUACGGGAGGGACCUGUGCGACAAGGCACGACCAACCUAUGGGCCUCUGCCCUCCGUCCGGUCGUGGGGUGUAGGACUGUAGGAGAUUGAUCGCCUUGACAGCCAUGCACUGCCAGGAUGCUGGCAUUCGUUCCGGCAAUCGGCUUGACCGUGCAAGGCAGCAGCAUCAGUAGCUGCAGGAGCAAGAGAGUGAAAUAUGAGCAAGCAAGUUACGCAUAAAUCCGUGAAUGCUGCAACGGCCAAAACCACCUUCUCCAAUCUGAUUGUUUGCUGCGAAUCUGUUCGUUGCGGCAAAAAUCAUCUCAAGAUCAAACAAUGGAAGGUCAAGCUCGUCUUCAGCACCCGUGCUGUUCUGAUCGAACCAUUGGCCCCAUGCUGGGUUCGAAGCAGUGCUGUUCCUGACCCUGAACGGAGUAUCAUCGGACUCACUGCUUUUCUCCAUUUCAGUAUGCCGCUUCCACCUAGCCUUGUUCGUCCAAAAACAGCAGCAGCCAGCUACUGCUAAAAUGCCACAAAUAAUGGUGACCACGGCGAUCACCACGUUCUUGAUGAGCCGCCGUCGUCUUGCUGACAUCAAAUGGAGAUUUGUCAUUAUCAAGUUUGGUGAUGGUGGAAAUUUGCUCCCGCAAGUAGAGGGUUGCUUCUUACAGACUGAGCUUCGCUCAGUCCAUUUGUUCUGGUACAAAAGAAAUCACUGGCUCUUGCAGUAUAUUAUCCAACGACGACUGAAUGUUACUAGUCCCGUUUAGCGUACUAUAACGGCCAACGGAAACCCAAAGAAUAAUAGCUAGUUUGUGAUCCUUAUUAUUUUACGCUAGAAAAUAUAGUACCUCGUGGUUCCAUCUUAAUAAUGAUAAAAAAAAAACUCUUCAGGUUAA